CCUGACUUCCUCCUUGCAGGCAUUACAGACGUCAGCAGGUAUACUCAAACAUCUCCCUUCUCAGUUUCACAAAUUUCUCAGUAAAUUCACCAAUACGUCACCAUUGGGGUCUGUUUAGCUGAUGGGAGAUUCAGCUUCCAAAGCUACGAUGACGUCUUUUGUGCUUGAUCAGCCGCUUUACUGCCCUGUUACAGACACUGUUUGAAAACAGUUAAGGUUCCAUUUUCCAUCCAUGUUCUACCGCGUGUCCCGUUCAGGGUCGCGGGGGGUCCUGGAGCCUAUCUCAGCAGCAUUCGGGAGGAAGGCAGGGUACACCCUGGACAAGUCACCACCUCAUCACAGUUGAUUUGGACAAGUCUGAACGCAGUCUGGGACCUAACAGGCCAAACCAAACAGAGGGAUUGAGAUCACCUGAGAGAUGGGUCUUGGCCUGUGUGUCAGCGGGCUCUGGUCCUGAGUGAGGUAAGUGUGUGAAUGCCAACUGGACUACCAGACCAACAAAUGCGGCCGCAAGUAGACGAUGCAUAGCAACAAAAGUAUUUCGAAUGUAUAGUAUGUGACCCAGAAGAUGCGUUUGUGUUGUUGUUUGGGGUGCGUGAGGUCAUCAGACAAUAAACAGAAGUACAGUGUUCAGUGCUCAAAGAAGUGGUCUUGGUAAGGAACACGACACAGUUGUGAUGUCAAGACUGCCCCAAGAGAUUUUUCAAAGGUUUUAUGGACUGAUGAGAGUGACUCUUGACGGUCCAGAUGGACAAUCCCUUGGCUGGAUCAGUGCGGGCCACCAUUUCCAAUCAGAAAGUAUGGGCUGGCGUUAUUAAAGAUGAGGAAGUUGGGAUAUUUUCAGGUUGAAGGACGACACUUUCUGCAGAUUCUGGUAGAGCAAAAAGUCUAAACCGUAUUUUUUUUUUAAAUGCAGGAAAAUGUUUGUGGUCAUUAUUUAUUUAUAUUUGAUGUUUUUUCCUCACCUGA